rnacentral:siRNA from 1 species
GGUGGCCUGAGUUUUAGUUCUU